UUUUGAAGCAGCGUUUUAAAGUUUGUGCCGAACAAAGCAAUUCUGCCGUUGACAGUUGACACUGACAGUAGAGACGACAGGAGACGGCCGACGGCCCAUUCCUGACGACAACAGAUAAACAAAUUUAUAUCAAGAAAUGACAAGUUCUGCACAUAUGAAAUGGCUAUAAGUUAUAUUCCUCGUGUGACCCAGUUGGACGCGGGCCAAUUAGAUGAGCAGCUGGAAGAGUUACUGAAACAACAAUUAUUUAAUGCUACAAAAUUUUUAGAGCCUGGUAUUCUGCAGCCCAUACUACCAGAAUUAGAACUACUUCUCCGAACAUGGAUAUUCAAAUAUUCAGUCUAUGACUACAAAUGCACUUUUGGACAAAAAAUGCUGUCAUUAAAAUAUAACACAACUAAUUUCUCCAAAUCCAAACUUUAUUGGUAUUAUGGAUACACUAUUGGAUUAAAAUAUUUAAAAGAUAGAUCUAUAUACAGUUGGACUUCUAAUACUAAGAUACAAAAUUUUGUGCAUCAGUUAGAAACAUUUCAGUUGUUUGGAGAUAUUUUAAAUGUUUUGAGGUUUAUAAGAAGCGGCAAAUAUCCAGUGCUCAUAGACUUUAUUUUGGGCUUGGAGUUGACUGCUGAUAAACUGACAAGAGAGGACCUGACUGAUUUCUCAUGGACAAGAGAACUGUUAUGGCAUAAUUUUAUUGAACUAAUAGGCACAAUAAUAUCUUUAAUGAACAUAUUUGGUCUCCAAAGACGGCUCAGCAACAUACUAAAGUAUGUGUGGUGGCGGCAGCAUGUGAAGCCAUUGGCAAAGCCUAGUCCACCCGUUAUGACACACCUCACUGUGUGUGCGUGUUGUUUGGCAAGACCAGUGUUACCGCAUACUAUGGGCUGCUCACAUAUCUUCUGUUAUUACUGCUUAUCGACCAAUAAAAUGCUAGAUCCAGACUUCGCGUGUCCAAAAUGUUAUUACAAAGGAAAGGAGAUAAAUAGGUUUACAAUGGUUUAAGUGUAUAAGAGAAAAUGACUUUUUAUUGAUUUGUGAGGUGGAGGUGUCAAUGUUAACUAUGGUGGAAGUGUGGACUAAAGAAAAAUAAGGAAGUCCGUGUGAACAUUUUUGACAUGAGCGAUCCUCGCUGGAGCGGCCAGGGCGAUGUUGUGGUUGACUGCCACCGGCGCCGCGGCGUACUGCGCGACGCCGCCGCCGGAGUGGUGGCUGA
rnacentral:misc_RNA from 1 species